GGGGGUGAAGUUCAGUGGUAGAGAGUAUUGUGCUUCACAUGCAUAAGGCCCUGGGUUCAAUUCCCAGCAUCCAUU
rnacentral:tRNA from 1 species